GACGAACGCUGGCGGCGUGCUUAAUACAUGCAAGUCGAACGCCGUGGCGAACGGGUGAGUAUUACGGGAGUAACCUGCCCUCCACUGUGGGAUAAGCCUGGGAAACUGGGUCUCAUACUGCAUAGUUGGGGCUGGGCUCGCGGCCUAUGAGGGUGUUGGUGGGGUGAUGGCCUACCAGGGCGGUGACGGGUAGGCGGCCUGAGGGGGUGGUGGGCCACAUUGGGACUGAGAGACGGCCCAGACACCUACGGGAGGCAGCAGUGGGGGAUAUUGCAAAAUGGGCGCAAGCCUGAUGCAGCGACGCCGCGUGGGUGAUGAAAGCUUGCGGGUUGGAAGCCUCUGUCGGUACAGAACGGGUAUGUGCAGAAGAAGCGCCGGCUAACUACGUGCCAGCAGCCGCGGUAAUUC
rnacentral:rRNA from 1 species